rnacentral:rRNA from 1 species
CUAACAAGGAUUCCCCUAGUAACGGCGAGUGAAGCGGGAAGAGCUCAAAUUUGUAAUCUGGCGGCCUCUGGUCGUCCGAGUUGUAGUCUGGAGAAGCGUUUUCCGCGUCGGACCGUGUACAAGUCCCUUGGAACAGGGCGUCAUAGAGGGUGAGAAUCCCGUCUUUGACACGGACUGCCGACGCUCUGUGAUGCGCUCUCGAAGAGUCGAGUUGUUUGGGAAUGCAGCUCAAAACGGGUGGUAAAUUCCAUCUAAAGCUAAAUAUUGGCGAAAGACCGAUAGCGAACAAGUACCGUGAGGGAAAGAUGAAAAGCACUUUGGAAAGAGAGUUAAACAGUACGUGAAAUUGUUGAAAGGGAAACGCUUGAAGUCAGUCGCGUCUCCCGGGACUCAGCCUUGCUUUGCCAGGCGUAUUUCCCGGGGCGACGGGCCAGCAUCGAUUUUGACCGUCGGAGAAAGGCUUUGGGAACGUGGCACCUUCGGGUGUGUUAUAGCCCUCGGUCGUAUGCGACGGUCGGGAUUGAGGACCGCAGCACGCCUUUUUGGCCGGGGUUCGCCCACGUAACGUGCUUAGGAUGCUGGCGUAAUGGCUUUAAGCGACCCGUCUUGA